UACGUAGGGUGCGAGCGUUGUCCGGAAUUAUUGGGCGUAAAGGGCUCGUAGGCGGUUUGUCGCGUCGGGAGUGAAAACCCAGGGCUUAACCCUGGGCUGGCUUUCGAUACGGGCAGACUAGAGGUAUGCAGGGGAGAACGGAAUUCCUGGUGUAGCGGUGAAAUGCGCAGAUAUCAGGAGGAACACCGAUGGCGAAGGCAGGGCUCUGGGCCACUACUGACGCUGAGAAGCGAAAGCAUGGGGAGCGAACAGG
rnacentral:rRNA from 1 species